GAUGAACGCUGGCGGCGUGCCUAAUACAUGCAAGUCGAGCGAACAGACUAGGAGCUUGCUCCUCUGACGUUAGCUGCGGACGGGUGAGUAACACGUUGAUAACCUACCUAUAAGACUGGGAUAACUUCGUGAAACCGGUGCUAUUACCGGCUAAUAUUUUUAACCGCAUGGUUCAAUCGUGAAAGAUGGUUUUGCUGUCACUUAUAGAUGGAUCCGCGCCGCAUUUGCUAGUUGGUAAGGUAACGGCUUACCAAGGCAACGAUGCGUAGCCGACCUGAGAGGGUGGUCGGCCACACUGGAAAUGAGACACGGUCGAGACACCUACGGGGAGAAACAGUAGGGAAUCUUACGCGAUGGGCGAGAGCGUAACGGAGCAAAGCCGGGUGAGGGAUGAAGGUCUUAGGAUCGUAAAACUCUGUUAUUAGGGAAGAACAAAUGUGUAAGUAACUAUGAACGUAUUGACGGUACCUAAUCAGAAAGCCACGGCUAACUACGUG
rnacentral:rRNA from 1 species